CCUACGGGUGGCAGCAGUGAGGAAUAUUGGUCAAUGGGCGCGAGCCUGAACCAGCCAAGUCGCGUGAGUGAAGAAGUAAUUCGUUAUGUAAAGCUCUAUCAGCAGGGAAGAAAAUGACGGUACCUGAGUAAGAAGCCCCGGCUAACUACGUGCCAGCAGCCGCGGUAAUACGUAGGGGGCAAGCGUUAUCCGGAUUUACUGGGUGUAAAGGGAGCGUAGACGGCAGUGCAAGUCUGGAGUGAAAGGCGGGGGCUCAACCCCCGGACUGCUCUGGAAACUGUACGGCUGGAGUGCAGGAGAGGUAAGUGGAAUUCCUAGUGUAGCGGUGAAAUGCGUAGAUAUUAGGAGGAACACCAGUGGCGAAGGCGGCUUACUGGACUGUAACUGACGUUGAGGCUCGAAAGCGUGGGGAGCAAACAGGAUUAGAUACCCUAGUAGUC
rnacentral:rRNA from 1 species